AUACAUAUAAUUUUGAUGGCAGUAUGACCGAACACAAGCGCCACAGUGGACAUAUAUGUUUUCCUUUGUUAUUGUAAACAAUUUAUAAAAGUCGUAUUUUCUUCUCAUCAACUACGUACGAAAUUAAAUUUCACAUUGUUUCACAAUAUAAUCUGAAUCAAGCAAUAUUAUCAAUAUGAAGUCGAAAUAUAUCAAUCAAUCAGAAAAUUUUAAUGCUGAUCGAUGGAAAAAAUCCACUCUCAAUAUGUUGGAAGUGAUGACAUCAACAUCUGAAAAUGGUGCGAAAAGUGAACGUGAUGAUUUUAAGAAAUAUUUUCCAAAUGAAUCUUGGGACGAAUACGAAACAAAAAUCAAGGAAGACGAAAAAAAAUUUCCAGUUGCCGAACGCAAAUUUAUUGACGAAUCAUGUCAAGCUAUAUACGCCGAAAUAUGGUAAAUCAGACAACGAGCCCAUGCAAGAGUUCUAAGAGGAAAGGAAUUGAUUGCAUAGAUACGUGCAAGAGAUGGAGACGAAGGUUUUAGAUUCAAACUCAUAAUUCAAAAAUGAGAUGUGCUGUUUCCAUUGAAGUACAAGCUGAUUUUGCAGAACAAAUGAAAAAAAAUUGCCAUAAAGCAACAACAAUACACUCUAGGGGAAAUGAUCUAUUCGCGAAUGGACAAAAUUUAUUGAUUGUAUGAUAAAGUCGUCAUUUUAGUAAAAUAAUUCAAGAAAUUCGCAUACAAUUCGCAAGCUAUUCGCAAAAAGUUAUCACAAUCAAACUAUAUAAUAUACGCUUGCAAACGAACCAAGUGAAUAGCGGCGACGCAAGAAAACGAAGUGAGUGAAUAGCGGCAGCGGAUAACAUUUUUUCUUUCGUUCGUUGUCGCUAUUCACUCAUUUCGUUUUCGUGCGUCGCCGCUGUUCACUUGGCUCGCUUACAAGCGUUCACAAUUUGAUACAUACAAAACUUACAAAUUUUGCGAAUUGUCUCACGUUCAUAGCGUUUUGUUUGCGAAUUGUUUUUUAAAUCACAACUUUACUGGCCCAUCGCUUACAAAUCAUUUCGCAUAAAAUUCGCAAAAUAUCGAAUAAUUCGCUAUUUUCUGAUCGAGAUCCGAUCCCCUAGAAUACACUGAUAUGACAAAUGCAAAUGACAUUUGUGAUACAACGUUUUGUAUCUAUUGAAAUCAGUUAAUAAAAAAAAAUUAGUAAAAAGUUGAUUUUAAAA